AUGUACACGUGUCCCAAGUGCCAGAAGUCAAUUUCAAACAGCGUAAGGACACUAAUCAGACAUCUUAGGCAAGUUCAUGCAAUUUCUGAUGGACAGGACUAUACAAUUGUAUGUAGUCAAAACCACUGUCAAAGAACAUACCAUAACUUCAAUUCGUAUACCAGACAUCUCAAUAGGGAACACAUUUCAGUUGCUAACCCACAAGAUUUUGAUCAAGGCCGUUUCAGUGAUGUAUGUAUGUCAGAGGAUGUUUCUGUGCCAUCUUGCUCCCAUGCUAUGGAUACUUCUGAAUCUAAUUUGGACACUGUUUUGGACACUCCUAUGGAUCUUCCUGUUUCAGACCACCGUGACUGUGCAGCAUCGUAUGUAGCCAAAAUCUAUUCCUCAUCAAAUUCCACCUUAACUGAUGUACAGAAAAGCAUUAUGUGCACUAAAGAGCUACUGGAGAAGACAUUGGACUCUUUAAAGGAGAAAACUGCCUCUGUGAUUAAUAGCUACAAUAUAUCAAAUGAUGAAGCUGUCCAAUCUUUAAUGCAGGACUUUGAAAAUGCACGAAAUAUGUUUUCAGAGGUAGAUACGCCCUAUAAAAUGUGCAAAUAUUUUUCUGAAAAACACUCCCUUGUCAAACCUAAAGAAAUGUUCUUAGGAUACAGAGGUGACACAGCAAGAAAGCAUGGAAAAUUGACUCAAGUACUGGCUGCAGAUACUUGUCAGUAUAUCUCAAUUAUCGAUACCAUAAAGUUUCUCUUUGGUAGUGAAAAGAUGCAAAAACUCUAUAAGCAAUCGAACAAAAGUGUUGAUGGUAAAAUGCAUGAUUAUUGUGAUGGCACACAGUUUGCAAGUCAUAAAUUAUACAGCAGGUAUCCCAAUGCCCUACAAAUCCAACUAUAUUUCGAUGAUUUGGAAACGACUAAUCCCUUGGGGUCAAAAACUAAAGUUCAUAAAAUGGGAGCUGUUUACUUUUGCUUGAGAAACUUGCCUGUGGAAUUUAACUCCUCCCUUGCAAACAUUCACCUCUGUCUACUUUUCAAUUCCAUAGACAGGGAGCUGUAUGGCUUUCACAAAAUAUUAGCACCUUUGUUGGAUGACAUUCAAGGUCUUGAAACAGAUGGGAUAAAAGUUGAAAUUGAGGGUCAGAUUUCUCUCCUUCAUGGUACUGUCUGCCUUUUGACUGCUGAUAAUCUUGCCUGCCAUUCACUUGGAGGGUUUUUAGAAAGCUUUUCAGCAAACAGAUUUUGCCAUUUUUGUCUAACUGACAAACAAGCUGCCCAGUGUGUGUUUGAUGAUGAUCACCAGGAAUUUCGUAACAAAGAAAACUAUAAAGAACAUGUUGUGCAUAACAAUCCAUCUUUAACAGGUAUAAAAGAGGAUUCCUGUUUAAACUCACUGAAUUACUUUCAUGUAACUGAAAAUUCUUGUCCUGACAUUAUGCAUGACAUUUUAGAGGGUGUUGCCUUGGUUGAAGUGAAACUGAUGUUAAAACAUUUCAUCUAUAAUGAAAAGUUUUUCACAUUAGAGCAGUUUAAUGACAGAUUGGUAAGCUUUGAUUACGGUUUUGCAAAUGAAAAAAACAAACCAAGUGUCAUUCUUAAUUUGAGAACCUCAGAUAAUCCUAUAAGACAAACAGCCAGUCAGAUGUGGUGCCUUUUGCUGUUUUUACCCUUCCUAAUUGGAGAUUUUGUUAAUGAACAUGAUCAACACUGGAAAUUGUUCCUUCUCCUCAGAGAAAUCUGUAGCAUAGUAUUUGCUCCAGUUGUCAGCAUUGGACUUUCUGUCUUUUUAAAGCAGUUGGUUAUAGAUCACCAUAAUUUGUUCAAGAUUCUUUAUCCAGACAGACCACUCACUCCAAAACAUCAUUUUAUGACUCACUAUUGGCGCAUGAUGAUAAAGUUUGGCCCACUUUUAAAGUUAUGGUGUAUGAGAUUUGAGAGUAAGCAUGGUCCCCUGAAAAGGCAUGCUCAUGUUGUGUGUAAUUUCAUAAAUAUUUCUAAGACUUUGGCUUACAAGAAUCAAGUUCAAAGUAUGUAUAAUUGGAAAUUUAGUGAUCCACUGAUGAAAAAAAUGACUGUACCAAGCGGCUUUCCAGUGAUGGUUGGAUCUUUGGAAAAAAGUAAUCUGUUAAUUGAAAAUCUGAAACAACAUGGGUAUGAUAUUGGCACUUGCAACAAAAUUCAUGUGGCUCACUCUAUCUGUUGGCAUGGUCAGACAUAUAAAAUGGGUUGUGUUCUUGCUUUAAACUGUGAUGCAAGAGAGGAGCGUCUGUUUGGAGAGAUUUUACAUAUGGUUCCCAAUUGUGAAAAGGAAGAGGUGCUAAUUUUUCUCAAAAUUUUAACUGUUAAAUAUUUUGAUGACCAUCUAUUUUCAUAUGUGGUGGAGCGGACUGAUGAGUAUGAAAUGAUAAAUGUAAACGAUAUAGCAGACAUCAGACCCCUAGACUUGCUGUCAUCUUUCAGUGGAAAUGCACUAUAUAUUAAUCCCAGAUACAAAUUGAUUGUCUAA
ensembl:lncRNA